UGGGUUUAUGUUUGGGGUGUAUGUGCUUCGUACCAACCAGACGAGUUUUGCACUUUUUUACUGAUUUGUUUUUUUUUUUUUUUUUUAUUAUGCAGUUCUGUUAAAUAGAUGUCCCAAGUUAAGGGAUGGGUUUAGCGCAAGCAAACAUGUUUAAUCCUAGCACAAGUAUGUGUAUAUCCCAAGUCAGUGGUUAUCGGUUGUUGUUG
rnacentral:lncRNA from 1 species